rnacentral:rRNA from 1 species
UUUCGCAAUGCCCGAAAGGGUGACGAAGCGACGCCGCGUGGGUGAGGAAGGCCUUCGGGUUGUAAAGCCCUGUCAGGAGUUAAGAAAUGUAAGUGCGCUAAUAUCGCAUUUAUUUGACGAAGGCUCCAAAGGAAGUCACGGCUAACUCUGUGCCAGCAGCCGCGGUAAUACAGAGGUGGCAAGCGUUGUUCGGAAUUAUUGGGCGUAAAGAGCACGUAGGUGGGUUUGUAAGUCAGAUGUGAAAGCCUUCUGUUCAACGGAAGAAUUGCAUCUGAAACUGCGAGUCUUGAGUGUAGGAGGGGAGAAUGGAACUUCUGGUGGAGCGGUGAAAUGCGUAGAUAUCAGAAGGAACGCCGGCGGCGAAAGCGAUUCUCUGGCCUAUUACUGACACUCAGUGCGCGAAAGCUAGGGGAGCAAACGGGAUUAGAUACCCCGGUAGUCCUAGCCGUAAACGAUGGGCACUAAGUAGAGGGGUUUUA